CAUGUCUAGUAUAGCAAUUAUACCGUGAAACUGCGAAUGGCUCAUUAAAUCAGUUAUCGUUUAUUUGAUAGUACCUUACUACUUGGAUAACCGUGGUAAUUCUAGAGCUAAUACAUGCUAAAAACCCCAACUUCGGGAGGGGUGUAUUUAUUAGAUAAAAAACCAAUGCCCUUCGGGGCUCCUUGGUGAUUCAUGAUAACUUCUCAGAUCGCAUGGCUUUACGCCGGCGACGGUUCAUUCAAAUUUCUGCCCUAUCAACUUUCGAUGGUAAGGUAUUGGCUUACCAUGGUUUCAACGGGUAACGGGGAAUUAGGGUUCGAUUCCGGAGAGGGAGCCUGAGAAACGGCUACCACAUCCAAGGAAGGCAGCAGGCGCGCAAAUUACCCAAUUCCGAUACGGAGAGGUAGUGACAAUAAAUACUGAUACAGGGCUCUUUUGGGUCUUGUAAUUGGAAUGAGUACAAUUUAAACCUCUUAACGAGGAACAAUUGGAGGGCAAGUCUGGUGCCAGCAGCCGCGGUAAUUCCAGCUCCAAUAGCGUAUAUUAAAGUUGUUGCAGUUAAAAAGCUCGUAGUUGAACCUUUGGCCUGGCUGGCAGGUCCGCCUCACCGCGUGCACUUGUCCGGCCGGGCCUUUUCUUCUGGAGAACCGCAUGCCCUUCACUGGGUGUGUUGGGGACCAGGACUUUUACUUUGAAAAAAUUAGAGUGUUCAAAGCAGGCCUUUGCUCGAAUACGUUAGCAUGGAAUAAUAGAAUAGGACGUGCGGUCCUAUUUUGUUGGUUUCUAGGACCGCCGUAAUGAUUAAUAGGGACAGUCGGGGGCAUCAGUAUUCAAUUGUCAGAGGUGAAAUUCUUGGAUUUAUUGAAGACUAACUACUGCGAAAGCAUUUGCCAAGGAUGUUUUCAUUAAUCAGUGAACGAAAGUUAGGGGAUCGAGACGAUCAGAUACCGUCGUAGUCUUAACCAUAAACUAUGCCGACUAGGGAUCGGGCGGUGUUUCUAUUGUGACCCGCUCGGCACCUUACGAGAAAUCAAAGUGUU
rnacentral:rRNA from 1 species